ACAAUAUUUUAUUGGUACAAGAAAUACAUUCAAUUCACAAUGCUCCUAAGAAAAACUGUUUAACGGCUAUCAACGAUUGAUACGGAGAGGGCUUAUGAUGGAAUUUGAUGGGAUUAUAUUUGGGCAGUUCUUCAUCAAUUUAAUUUUCAUAACAAAUUUCUUUGUGGAUCGAGCUUGUGUUUCCAAUCCAAGGUUUGCUUUAUUAAUUAAUGGCUUAUUUACUAACCGGUUCAGUUCUACCAUA
rnacentral:lncRNA from 1 species